CUGGCUCAGGAUGAACGCUAGCGAUAGGCCUAACACAUGCAAGUCGAGGGGCAUCACAUGAGGUAGCAAUACCGAUGGUGGCGACCGGCGCACGGGUGAGUAACACGUAUGCAACCUGCCUUCAACAAGGGCAUAACCCGUUGAAAGACGGACUAAUUCCCUAUGACACAGGGGUCCCGCAUGGGGAUAUUUGUUAAAGAUUAAUCGGUUGGAGAUGGGCAUGCGUUCCAUUAGCUUGUUGGCGGGGUAACGGCCCACCAAGGCAACGAUGGAUAGGGGAACUGAGAGGUUUAUCCCCCACACUGGUACUGAGACACGGACCAGACUCCUACGGGAGGCAGCAGUGAGGAAUAUUGGUCAAUGGGCGCAAGCCUGAACCAGCCACGUCGCGUGAAGGAAGACGGCCCUACGGGUUGUAAACUUCUUUUGCAAGGGAAUAAAGUUGGCCACGCGUGGCCUUUCGCAUGUACCUUGCGAAUAAGGAUCGGCUAACUCCGUGCCAGCAGCAGC
rnacentral:rRNA from 1 species